rnacentral:lncRNA from 1 species
CUCUCACCACCCUCACACCAAAGAAUUUCUUUCCCAACUCUCAUCUCAAUCUCCUCUCCUUCAGUUUAAAACCAUCCCCCUCCUCCUAUGGCUCCCCUCCCUGGCAAAGAGUCCCUCCCCAUCUCUCCUGGAGCCCCCUUUAGGGACUGGAAGGGGCUCUAAGGUCUCCCUGGAGCCUUCUCUUCUCCAGACUGAACACCCCCAACUCUCUCAGCCUGUCCUCACAGCAGAGGGGCUCCAGCCCUCUGAUCAUCUCCGUGGCCUCCUCUGGACUCGUUCCAACAGGUCCAUGUCCUUCCUGUGCUGAGGACCCCAGAGCUGGACACAGAGCUCCAGGUGGGGUCUCCCCAGAGUGGAGCAGAGGGUCAGAUUCCCCCCCUCACCCUGCUGGCCACGCUGCUGGGGAUGCAGCCCAGGAUGGGGUUGGCUUUCUGGGCUGCCAGUGCAUGUUGCCAACUCAUGUUGAGCUUCUCAACCACUCAACCACCAUGGUCUUUCUGUUCCAUCUAACCCACUCCGUGAACAACAGUCACCAGUGGUUACCACAGUCCUUCUCCUAAGGGCAGAGAGACACAGCAGUUCAUGAGCUGGCAGAAAAGCUUAAAAUCCAGGAUUUUAAUCCUCAGGCUACAAAACACAGUAGUCCAUAGGGAAUCAGGGAAUUGUCAGAGUUGGAAGGGGCCUCUAGAGUCCAUCCAGUCCAACUCCCCUGCCAAAGCAGGGCUGCCCAGAGCACAUCACUCAGGAGCAUCCAGGUGGGGCCUGAAGAUCUCCAGAGAAGGGGACUCCACACCCUCCCUGGGCAGCCUCUGCCAGGGCUCUGCCACCCUCACCCCAAAGAAGUUCUUCCUCAGAUUGGAGUGGAACUUCCCAUGUUCCAGCUUGUGCCCGUUGCCCCUCAUCCUGUCACUGGGAACCACUGAAAAGAGUCUGGCUCCAUCCUCCCUCAACCCACCCUUUAGAUCCUUGUAAACGUAGAUAAGGUCCCCUCAGCCUUCUCUUCUCCAGGCUAUAGAGCCCCAGCUCUCUCAGCCUUUCCUCAUCAGGGAGAUGCUCCAAUCCCUUAAUCAUCUUAGUUGCCCUAUGUUGGACUCUCUUCACUAGUUCCCUGUCCCUCUUGAACUGGGGGGCCCAGAACUGGACGCAGGAUUCCAGUUGUGGCCUCCCCAGUGCAGAGCAGAGGGGGAGAAUGACCUCCCUCCACCUCCUGGCCACACUCUUCCCUCUGCAGCCCAGGAGUCCAUACGACCUAAACUGUCCAUACAGCCCUAAACUGCACGUCGCCUGUGAACUCUGAGACUUGCUUAUAAAAGAUCACUGGUCAGGAAUUAGGAACUUUGUGUUCUCUUUCUUUUUGUUUCUAUUUAGGUCAGGUGAGGAAAGUGCAUAUGAAACUUGUAAGCUGGUGUUGCACAUCCAGCACCAGAAAUCCCUGUGCCAGAAGUUCUCCUGCUGCACACCGAAACAGCUCAUCUGUGAUGAUGGGCGUCACAGAUCUUUAGACCAUUGGGCGACAGAGAUGGAAAAGGCCUGGCAA